ACGGCUCCCUAACACUUGGACUAUCUAACCUAUGGUGGGGGAUAACCCCGGGAAACUGGGGAUAAUACCCCAUAUACUAUGAAUGCUGGAAUGCUUUGUAUUUGAAAGGUCCGCCGCCAUAGGAUGGGUCUGCGGCCGAUUAGGUUGUUGUUGGGGUAACGGCCCAACAAGCCUGUAAUCGGUACGGGUUGUGGGAGCAAGAACCCGGAUAUGGAUUCUGAGACACGAAUCCAGGCCCUACGGGGCGCAGCACGCGCGAAAACUUUACAAUGCGGGAAACCGUGAUAAGGGAACUCCGAGUGCCCGUAAAAUCGGGCUGUCCACCAGUUUAAAUAACUGGUGAAGAAAGGGCCGGGCAAGACCGGUGCCAGCCGCCGCGGUAAUACCGGCGGCUCGAGUGGUGGCCACUAUUACUGGGCUUAAAGCGUUCGUAGCUGGUCUGUUAAGUCUCUGGGGAAAUCUACUGGCUUAACCAAUAGGCGUCUCAGGGAUACUGGCAGACUAGGGACCGGGAGAGGUGAGAGGUACUCCAGGGGUAGGAGUGAAAUCCUGUAAUCCUUGGGGGACCACCUGUGGCGAAGGCGUCUCAC
rnacentral:rRNA from 1 species